CUCCAGGGGCGGGAAUCGAACCCACAACGUUCCGCUUACCGGGCAGAUGCCAUGUCCACUAGGCUACCCUGGA
rnacentral:tRNA from 1 species